rnacentral:misc_RNA from 1 species
AUUAGAUACAAAUGGAACACACUAAGGCCGCCAACAAACCAAACUGAAAUAAAAGUGUAAACUACUAGCACAAUGGAGGCCGGAGUCUUGGCCAUUGCUUUCCAAAUUGUUGUCUCCUCACUAUUCAUGAUCCUCUUGAUGUAAACCCAGCAAAAUCCAUGUACAUAUAAGCAUAGAAGAGUCGCAAUGAACACAAACAUGAAGAAGAACCUGUAAUUUCUCAAGCCAAUGCACUGACCAACCCACGGGCAGUGAUGAUCAAAUCUUUGCACACAGUUAUUACAUAUUGAACAGUGAGAACAGCGUGGAGGCCUAUAAAGCAUGCAUGUAUCACAGUACUUGGUCUUCACGAUCAUUCCAUUGAUAACAACAUCCUUUGUGCGCGGUAAACGAAAAGGUGGGGUUUGGCCCAUUGUAGCUUCAGUGUGCCCUUCAUAACCUUCUAGUUCUGGAGGGUGAGCAUUACGAGGUAUUAUACCGGGAUCUCUUCCUGAUGUUAGCAGAAGAAGGAUCAAAUCUAAUGAUGUGAGGACAACAACAAUGACUACAAUUGAUAUUCCCCAGUGAUGAGGA